GGAUGCGAUCAUACCAGCACUAAAGCACCGGAUCCCAUCAGAACUCCGAAGUUAAGCGUGCAUGGGCGAGAGUAGUACUAGGAUGGGUGACCUCCUGAAAGUCCUCGUGUUGCAUUCC
rnacentral:rRNA from 1 species